CCACUGAAACGGGUGGCGAGGCAGCCCCUGGCCGAGACUGACGCUGCAGGUGCGAAAGCGUGGGGAGCAAACAGGAUUAGAUACCCUGGUAGUCCACGCCGUAAACGAUGUCAACUUGGAGGUUGUGCCCUUGAGGCGUGGCUUCCGGAGCUAACGCGUUAAGUCGACCGCCUGGGGAGUACGGCCGCAAGGUUAAAACUCAAAUGAAUUGACGGGGGCCCGCACAAGCGGUGGAGCAUGUGGUUUAAUUCGAUGCAACGCGAAGAACCUUACCUAGUCUUGACAUCCAGAGAACUUUCCAGAGAUGGAUUGGUGCCUUCGGGAACUCUGACACAGGUGCUGCAUGGCUGUCGUCAGCUCGUGUUGUGAAAUGUUGGGUUAAGUCCCGCAACGAGCGCAACCCUUAUCCUUUGUUGCCAGCGGUUCGGCCGGGAACUCAUAGGAAAACGCCCGUGAACAACUGGAAGAAGGUGGGGAUGAACUCCAGUCCUCAUGGCCCUUACCAGUAUGGCUACCCACGUGCUACCAUGGCGCAGACCAAAAGGAUCGACAUCCCGAGAGCGGACGUACCUCAUAAAGUGCGACGUAAUCCGGAAUGGAGUCUGCCACUCGACUCGCUGAAAUCCGAAUCGCUUGUAAUCGUAGAUUAGAAUGCUACCGUGGAUACCUUCCCCGGCCUUGGACACAACGGCCGUCACAACAAGGGGAGUGGGGUUGCAAAGAAGUAAGUAGCUCAACUCCGGAGGGAGCGUACCACUGUGUGGAUCAUGACCUGGGGGUGGAGUCGUACUGGGUAAACCGUUACCUCGGA
rnacentral:rRNA from 1 species